rnacentral:rRNA from 1 species
CAGUAGUCAUAUGCUUGUCUCAAAGAUUAAGCCAUGCAUGUCUAAGUACAAGCCGAGUUAAGGCGAAACCGCGAAUGGCUCAUUAAAUCAGCUAUGAUUCAUUGGAUCUGUACCCACACUUACUUGGAUAACUGUGGUAAUUCUAGAGCUAAUACAUGCACCACGUCUCUGACCGCAAGGGAAGAGCGCUUUUAUUAGUUCAAAACCGGUCGGGCCUCGGUCCGUCACCCCAUUGUGUUGAAUCUGAAUAACUUUGAGCUGAGCGCACGGUCUCCGCACCGGCGCCGCCUCUUUCAAGUGUCUGCCUUAUCAGCUUUCGAUUGUAGGUUAUACGCCUACAAUGGCUAUAACGGGUAACGGGGAAUCAGGGUUCGAUUCCGGAGAGGGAGCCUGAGAAACGGCUACCACAUCUAAGGAAGGCAGCAGGCACGCAAAUUACCCACUCCCGGCACGGGGAGGUAGUGACGAAAAAUAACGAUGCGAGACUCAUCCGAGGCCUCGCAAUCGGAAUGAGUACACUUUAAAUCCUUUAACGAGGAUCUAUUGGAGGGCAAGUCUGGUGCCAGCAGCCGCGGUAAUUCCAGCUCCAAUAGCGUAUAUUAAAGUUGUUGCGGUUAAAAAGCUCGUAGUUGGAUUUCAGUUCUGGACUGACGGUUCACCGCCCGGUGCACACUGUCACGCUCCGAACAGUUUUUAACCGCCCGCUGGCUCGCACGGGGUGCUCUUCAUCGAGUGUCCCGCGUGGCCGGCAGAGUUUACUUUGAAAAAAUUAGAGUGCUCAAAGCAGGCUACAUUGACGGCCUGAAUGCCUAUGCAUGGAAUAAUGGAAUAGGACCUCGGGUUCUAUUUUGUUGGUUUUCUGAACCCGAGGUAAUGACUAAUAGGAACAGGCGGGGGCAUUCGUAUUGCGACGCUAGGAGGUGAAAUUCUUGGACCGUCGCAGACGACUACUGCGAAAGCAUUGCCAGGAUGUUUUCAUUAUCAGGACGGAAGGUAGAGGUUCGAGGCGAUCAGAUACCGCCCUAGUCUAGCCUAAACGAUGCUGAACUAGCGAAUCGU